UACGUAGGGGGCAAGCGUUGUCCGGAUUUAUUGGGCGUAAAGAGCGUGUAGGCGGCCAGGUAGGUCCGUUGUGAAAACUCGAGGCUCAACCUCGAGACGUCGAUGGAAACCAUUUGGCUAGAGUCCGGAAGAGGAGAGUGGAAUUCCUGGUGUAGCGGUGAAAUGCGCAGAUAUCAGGAAGAACACCUAUGGCGAAGGCAGCUCUCUGGGACGGUACUGACGCUGAGGAGCGAAAGCGUGGGGAGCGAACAGG
rnacentral:rRNA from 1 species